CUGCACUGUUCGUAACCUGGUUCAGUCUCAGUAUGAAUUUGGGUUCCAUUCCAGUGCUAAAGUGAAUUCCAGUGAGGCAGGGGAGCAGUGCCUGUUUGUGCUCGCUCCCUGUUCACUCUCUGGGAACAUUU
rnacentral:snoRNA from 1 species